rnacentral:miRNA from 1 species
GUGCUCGGUUUGUAGGCAGUGUAAUUAGCUGAUUGUGCCGGGGCGCUGACAAUCACUAACUCCACUGCCAUUAAUAUAUGGC